rnacentral:rRNA from 1 species
CGACCCGUCUUGUAACACGGACCAAGGAGUCUAACAUMUMUGCGAGUAUUUUGGGUGUCAAACCCAAGUGCGCAAUGAAAGUGAAUGUAGGAGGGGAUCCGCAAGGAGCACCUUCGACCGAUCUGGAUCUUUAGUGAUGGAUUUGAGUAAGAGCAUAUAUGUUGGGACCCGAAAGAUGGUGAACUAUGCCUGAAUAGGGCGAAAGCCAGAGGAAACUCUGGUGGAGGCUCG